rnacentral:rRNA from 1 species
GAUGAACGCUGGCGGCGUGCUUAACACAUGCAAGUCGAACGAGGCACUUUAUUUGAUUUCCUUCGGGACUGAUUAUUUUGUGACUGAGUGGCGGACGGGUGAGUAACGCGUGGGUAACCUGCCUUGUACAGGGGGAUAACAGUUGGAAACGGCUGCCAAUACCGCAUAAGCGCACAGCAUCGCAUGAUGCAGUGUGAAAAACUCCGGUGGUAUAAGAUGGACCCGCGUUGGAUUAGCUAGUUGGUGAGGUAACGGCCCACCAAGGCGACGAUCCAUAGCCGACCUGAGAGGGUGACCGGCCACAUUGGGACUGAGACACGGCCCAAACUCCUACGGGAGGCAGCAGUGGGGAAUAUUGCACAAUGGGCGAAAGCCUGAUGCAGCGACGCCGCGUGAGCGAAGAAGUAUUUCGGUAUGUAAAGCUCUAUCAGCAGGGAAGAUAAUGACGGUACCUGACUAAGAAGCACCGGCUAAAUACGUG